GGCGGGUUGCCCGAGCGGCCAAUGGGAGCAGACUGUAAAUCUGUCGGUGGAUACCUUCGGAGGUUCGAAUCCUUCACCCGCCACCA
rnacentral:tRNA from 1 species